UACGUAGGGUGCAAGCGUUAAUCGGAAUUACUGGGCGUAAAGCGUGCGCAGGCGGCUUUGCAAGACAGAUGUGAAAUCCCCGGGCUUAACCUGGGAACUGCAUUUGUGACUGCAUGGCUGGAGUGCGGCAGAGGGGGAUGGAAUUCCGCGUGUAGCAGUGAAAUGCGUAGAUAUGCGGAGGAACAUCGAUGGCGAAGGCAAUCCCCUGGGCCUGCACUGACGCUCAUGCACGAAAGCGUGGGGAGCAAACAGG
rnacentral:rRNA from 1 species